UAAGCCCCCGCCGGCCGGCACUGGGCAUCAGUCCUCCAGACCGAACACCAACAGCCACCAUGUUCAAGUCCCUGCUCCUCGUCUUCGCCAUCCUGGCUGUGGCCUCGGCCCAGUACUUGGCCAGCCCCUACUAUGCGGGUUACAGCAACUACGGUGGACUGUACCGCUCCGCCGCCGCCUACCCUGCCUACUCCGCCUACAGCAGCUACGGCGCCUACCCCUACGCCUACUCCGGCCUCGGCUAUGGCUCGUCCUACCUCUACCGUUAAAAUUUAAAUGUUGUCUGUUUGACCUCAGCUCUUCCGGUGUGACCAAGACCCGUCUACCAGUAGGGAGAAUGUAACAUUACGCAUCACAUUUUUUUUGGCUUACCAUUCUAAAACAAUAAAUUUUUCUGAAAAUAUAAUGAA